GUGCUGGCUUUGGUAGCACAUAUACUAGCAUUGGAACAAUACAGAGAAAAUUAGUAGGCCAGCCCCUGUACAAGGAUGACACGCAAAUUUCUGAAGUGUUCCAUAUUUUA
rnacentral:snRNA from 1 species